rnacentral:tRNA from 1 species
AAAAAUUUAAUUUAACAAAAAUAUACACUUGUCAAGUGUAAAAUACAUUCGAGUAGUUUUU